GACCUGCACAGGUGCUGCAUGGCUGUCGUCAGCUCGUGUCGUGAGAUGUUGGUUAAGUCCCGCAACGAGCGCAACCCUUAUCCCUAGUUGCCAUCAGGUAAGCUGGGAACUCUGGGGAGACUGCCGGUGAUAAACCGGAGGAAGGCGGGGAUGACGUCAAGUCCUCAUGGCCCUUACAUCCCGGGCUACACACGUGCUACAAUGGCAGGUACAGAGGGCUGCGAAGCCGCGAGGUGGAGCGAAUCCCAGAAAACCUGUCUCAGUCCGGAUUGAAGUCUGCAACUCGACUUCAUGAAGGCGGAAUCGCUAGUAACCGCGAAUCAGCAGGUCGCGGUGAAUACGUUCCCGGGCCUU
rnacentral:rRNA from 1 species